GCCACAGCGCACGAAGUCUAUUGCAAAGACAAUGUGAGUAGUGGUUUGAAAGCACGAAUGGAAACCAACCAAAAAUGGAUGUUUAGCUAUUCAGACGCCAUCAUUACUUUACCGUAAGUGCCACGGCCUAUAACUUUUAAUAGUUCAAAAUCGUCUAGGCCAUAUGACUCUGUCCUUGUCGUUACUGCUGCUGCUGUAUUAUUCUUUGGGAUGGCUUUCGUCUGGUUCCCACAAAGCCUUGCGGUCGUCCUUGGUAUCAAAACUGUUGCAGUCGACGACAUAAUUUGUCUUGUUACAACAGUUUCGGUGCACGCACAUCCUACACUUGAUGCACUGUAACUCAGUUUGAUUUGAUUGAAAUAAUUUUUUUUUACAAGGAAAACAGAAGGCCUUUUUGCCGUACUUUGUUAAUUUACAUACUACAUGCUUAUUAACUCGAAUAUGACACUUCUUAUACUUAAAAAUAUCAUUUACUGCUGAGCAUAGCA